rnacentral:rRNA from 1 species
CCGGCGCACGGGUGAGUAACACGUAUCCAACCUGCCGUCUACUCUUGGACAGCCUUCUGAAAGGAAGAUUAAUACAAGAUGGCAUCAUGAGUCCGCAUGUUCACAUGAUUAAAGGUAUUCCGGUAGACGAUGGGGAUGCGUUCCAUUAGAUAGUAGGCGGGGUUACGGCCCACCUAGUCUUCGAUGGAUAGGGGUUCUGAGAGGAAGGUCCCCCACAUUGGAACUGAGACACGGUCCAAACUCCUACGGGAGGCAGCAUG